UAAAAGAUAGGCUAUAUUAAGCCAACAGGUUCAUACCCUGUCGAAAAACUCCUCAUGUUUUCUUUUAA
rnacentral:tRNA from 1 species